rnacentral:rRNA from 1 species
GAUGAACGCUGGCGGUAUGCUUAACACAUGCAAGUCGAACGGUCACUUCGGUGAUAGUGGCGGACGGGUGAGUAACGCGUGAGAAUCUGUCUUCAGGUCGGGGACAACAGUUAGAAAUGACUGCUAAUACCGGAUGUGCCUUUGGGUGAAAGAUUUAUUGCCUGAAAAAGAGCUCGCGUCAGAUUAGCUAGUAGGUGGUGUAAGAGACUACCUAGGCUCCGAUCUGUAGCUGGUCUGAGAGGACGAUCAGCCACACUGGAACUGAGACACGGUCCAGACUCCUACGGGAGGCAGCAGUGGGGAAUGUUCCGCAAUGGGCGAAAGCCUGACGGAGCAAUACCGCGUGAGGGACGAAGGCUUUUGGGUCGUAAACCUCUUUUCUCAAGGAAGAUGAUGACGGUACUUGAGGAAUAAGCACCGGCUAACUCUGUG